GAUGAACGCUGGCGGCGUGCUUAACACAUGCAAGUCGAACGGAAAGGCUCCUGCUUGGAGGGGUACUCGAGUGGCGAACGGGUGAGUAACACGUGGGUGAUCUGCCCUGCACUUCGGGAUAAGCCUGGGAAACUGGGGCUAAUACCGGAUAGGACGAUGGGUUGGAUGGCAUGGGGGAAAGAUUUUUCGGGGUGGGAUGGGCUCGCGGCGUAUCAGCUUGUUGGGGGGGUAGUGGCUUACCAAGGCGUCGACGGGUAGCCGGCCUGAGAGGGUGUCCGGCCACAUUGGGACUGAGAUACGGCCCAGACUCCUACGGGAGGCAGCAGUGGGGAAUAUUGCACAAUGGGCGCAAGCCUGAUGCAGCGACGCCGCGUGGGGGAUGACGGCCUUCGGGUUGUAAACCCCUUUCGCUAGUGACGAAGCGCAAGUGACGGUACCUGGUGAAGAAGCACCGGCUAACUACGUG
rnacentral:rRNA from 1 species